GAAAAGAAACUAACAAGGAUUCCCCUAGUAACGGCGAGUGAAGCGGGAAGAGCUCAAAUUUGAAAUCUGGUAGCCUUCGGUUGCCCGAGUUGUAAUCUAGAGAAGUGUUUUCCGUGCCGGCCCAUGUACAAGUCCCUUGGAACAGGGCGUCAUAGAGGGUGAGAAUCCCGUCCUUGACAUGGACCCCCGGUGCUUUGUGAUACACUUUCAACGAGUCGAGUUGUUUGGGAAUGCAGCUCAAAAUGGGUGGUGAAUUCCAUCUAAAGCUAAAUAUUGGCGAGAGACCGAUAGCGAACAAGUACCGUGAGGGAAAGAUGAAAAGCACUUUGGAAAGAGAGUUAAACAGUACGUGAAAUUGUUGAAAGGGAAACGAUUGAAGUCAGUCAUGCUCUUAGGAUUCAGCCGUUCUGCGGUGUAUUUCCUUUGAGUGGGGUCAACAUCAGUUUUGAUCGAUGGAUAAAGGCACGAGGAAGGUAGCACUCUCGGGUGAACUUAUAGCCUCGCGUCAUAUACAUUGAUUGGGACUGAGGAACGCAGCAUGCCUUUAUGGCCGGGAUUCGUCCACGUACAUGCU
rnacentral:rRNA from 1 species